GUCCACGAUACUACACUAUCAUUUGAUCUGAUAAAUCUACAGCACAUUUUCCUCUGUUGUAAUCUACCACUACCAUUGGUUUAUCAAAAACAUAAUUUUUUUUCUGGAUCUCUACCAUUUCAGCCGAAUGUUUCGUCGAAAUCAU